GGUUCGGUGGGGUAGUGGUGUAACACCACGGCUCUCCAGAUAGGUCUGAGACGCGGGUUUGAAUCCCGUCUGAGCCG
rnacentral:tRNA from 1 species